rnacentral:rRNA from 1 species
AGACUCCUACGGGAGGCAGCAGUAGGGAAUCUUCCGCAAUGGACGAAAGUCUGACGGAGCAACGCCGCGUGAGUGAUGAAGGUUUUCGGAUCGUAAAGCUCUGUUGUUAGGGAAGAACAAGUGCAAGAGUAACUGCUUGCACCUUGACGGUACCUAACCAGAAAGCCACGGCUAACUACGUGCCAGCAGCCGCGGUAAUAC